rnacentral:rRNA from 1 species
UACGUAGGGUGCAGGCGUUAAUCGGAAUUACUGGGCGUAAAGCGUGCGCAGGCGGUUUGCUAAGACAGGUGUGAAAUCCCCGGGCUUAACCUGGGGACUGCGCUUGUAACUGGCAAGCUGGAGUGUGGCAGAGGGGGGUGGAAUUCCACGUGUAGCAGUGAAAUGCGUAGAGGUGUGGAGGAACACCGAUGGCGAAGGCAGCCCCCUGGGCUAACACUGACGCUCAUGCACGAAAGCGUGGGGAGCAAACAGG